UGGGGAAUAUUGGACAAUGGGCGCAAGCCUGAUCCAGCAAUGCCGCGUGCGUGAAGAAGGCCUUCGGGUUGUAAAGCACUUUUAUCAGGAGCGAAACGCUGUCGGCUAAUACCCGGCGGAACUGACGGUACCUGAGGAAUAAGCACCGGCUAACUUCGUGCCAGCAGCCGCGGUAAUACGAAGGGUGCAAGCGUUAAUCGGAAUUACUGGGCGUAAAGCGUGCGUAGGCGGUUUCUUAAGUCUGCUGUGAAAUCCCCGGGCUCAACCUGGGAAUGGCAGUGGAUACUGGGAGGCUAGAGUGUGUCAGAGGGUGGUGGAAUUCCCGGUGUAGCGGUGAAAUGCGUAGAGAUCGGGAGGAACAUCAGUGGCGAAGGCGGCCACCUGGGACAACACUGACGCUGAGGCACGAAAGCGUGGGGAGCAAACAGGAUUAGAUACCCUGGUAGUCCACGCCCUAAAGCGAUGCGAACUGGAUGUUGGUCUCAACUCGGAGAUCAGUGUCGAAGCUAACGCGUUAAGUUCGCCGCCCUGGGGAGUACGGUCGCAAGACUGAAACUUAAAUGAAUUGACGGGGUCAUAGCUGUUUCCUG
rnacentral:rRNA from 1 species